GACGAACGCUGGCGGCGUGCUUAACACAUGCAAGUCGAGCGGACUUUAUCCUUCGGGGUAAGGUUAGCGGCGGACGGGUGAGUAACACGUAGGCAACCUGCCCAUGAGACUGGGAUAACUACCGGAAACGGUAGCUAAGACCGGAUAUGCAAUUUUCUCGCAUGAGAGAAUUGGGAAAAGCGGAGCAAUCUGCUGCUCACGGAUGGGCCUGCGGCGCAUUAGCUAGNGGUGAGGUAAUGGCUCACCAAGGCGACGAUGCGUAGCCGACCUGAGAGGGUGAUCGGCCACACUGGGACUGAGACACGGCCCAGACUCCUACGGGAGGCAGCAGUAGGGAAUCUUCCGCAAUGGACGCAAGUCUGACGGAGCAACGCCGCGUGAGUGAUGAAGGUUUUCGGAUCGUAAAGCUCUGUUGCCAGGGAAGAACGGCCAGGAGAGUAACUGCUCUUGGUUUGACGGUA
rnacentral:rRNA from 1 species